rnacentral:lncRNA from 10 species
GUCUGGAGCCAGGGGUCUUGCCAUGAAGGACAUUCAAGCAGUUCUGAGGAGAGGCCCAAGUGAAGAGGAACCAGUUGCCAGCACCACCCUGUCAGCUAUGUUAGGCCCCUGCCUAUAUAAACAAUUUGAUUAAAAACAUAUAUUUAAAAAUUCAUCAGUACAUGUGAGAUAUGAUGAUUUAUCAUUGAAGAUUUAGGAUGAUGGGCAGAGAAAGGCAAUCUGUUUUGUCUAUUGUCCAAUCAGUGCACGUGAAGAUUUGUUACAGUAUCCAGUUAACACUGAAUCACUAAGGUUUUAUCCAGGAAUAGUACUCAAAGUGCUCAGAUGUUCCUUUAAAUUCAUUUACCUGGGUAACUGCUGAAAGAGAGGCGACUACUGCUGGUAUCUUUAUCUAUGACGUUGAAGUCCCAGUGUUUAUAUAUCCUGAGCAUGGCUGCAUACGUGUACCAGCUUGAGUGAGCAAAAAGGAUGUUCUCAAAUCCAGGAAGAACCUACAGCCAGAAUCAUAGUGGAUUACACAGAUGUACAUAGCUAACUGACUGCAAUUGUCUUAAGUGUAAGAGGCAUACAGGGAUUGUGCCAUUUCAGCAGUGCUUCUCAACCUUGGCACUAUUGACAUUUUGAGCUGGCCG